rnacentral:rRNA from 1 species
UAUGGUCAAGAAGAGAAGCGCAAACGGUGGAUGCCUUGGCAGUAAGAGGCGAAGAAGGACGUGGAAUCCUGCGAAAAGCUAUGGGGAGCUGGAAACGAGCGUUGAGCCAUAGAUGUCCGAAUGGGGGAACCCGGCUGCAGCGAUGCGGUCAUUUGCAUUUGAAUACAUAGGAUGCAAAGGCGAACUCGGGGAACUGAAACAUCUAAGUACCCGAAGGAAAAGAAAUCAAGAGAGAUUCUCCAAGUAGCGGCGAGCGAACGGGGAGGAGCCUGGCGUGAUUUAUUAUUGAACUGAGUAGAACAAUUUGGGAAAGUUGGCCGUAGAGGGUGAAAGCCCCGUAUACGAAGGUUUGAUGAGGAACUAGGCACGCGAACAAGUAGGCCGGGACACGUGAAAUCCUGGUUGAAGAUGGGUGGACCAUCAUCCAAGGCUAAAUACUACUUACUGACCGAUAGUGAACCAGUACCGUGAGGGAAAGGUGAAAAGAACCCCGGAGAGGGGAGUGAAAUAGAAUCUGAAACCGUUUGCGUACAAGCAGUGGGAGCAUAGUUUAGGCUGUGUGACUGCGUACCUUUUGUAUAAUGGGUCAGCGAGUUACUUUCAGUGGCGAGGUUAACUGAAUAAGGGAGCCGUAGAGAAAUCGAGUCUGAAUAGGGCGAUAGUCGCUGGGAGUAGACCCGAAACCGGGCGAUCUAGCCAUGUGCAGGAUGAAGGUUGGGUAACACCAACUGGAGGUCCGAACCGGGUAAUGUUGAAAAAUUAUCGGAUGACGUGUGGCUAGGAGUGAAAGGCUAAUCAAGCCCGGAGAUAGCUGGUUCUCCCCGAAAGCUAUUUAGGUAGCGCCUCGUGAAUGAUUACUGGGGGUAGAGCACUGUUUCGGCUAGGGGGCUGUCAUGGCUUACCAAACCGAUGCAA